GGACUUGUUGGUCUAGUCGUAUGAUUCUCGCUUCGGGUGCGAGAGGUCCCGGGUUCAAUUCCCGGACAAGCCC